CCUACGGGAGGCAGCAGUGAGGAAUAUUGGUCAAUGGACGCAAGUCUGAACCAGCCAUGCCGCGUGCAGGAAGACGGCUCUAUGAGUUGUAAACUGCUUUUUUACGAGGGUAAACGCAGAUACGCGUAUCUGUCUGAAAGUCUCGUACGAAUAAGGAUCGGCUAACUCCGUGCCCGCAGCCGCGGUAAUACGGCGGGUUUAAGGGUUAUCCGGAUUUAUUGGGUUUAAAGGGUGCGUAGGCGGUCGGAUAAGUUAGAGGUGAAAUCCCGAGGCUCAACUUCGGAAUUGCCUCUGAUACUGUUCUGCUAGAGAGUAGGUGCGGUAGGCGGAAUGUAUGGUGUAGCGGUGAAAUGCUUAGAGAUCAUACAGAACACCGAUUGCGAAGGCAGCUUACCAAGCUACUUCUGACGUUGAGGCACGAAAGCGUGGGGAGCAAACAGGAUUAGAUACCCUGGUAGUC
rnacentral:rRNA from 1 species